rnacentral:rRNA from 1 species
GUGAGGAAUAUUGCGCAAUGGAGGCAACUCUGACGCAGCCAUGCCGCGUGCAGGAAGAAGGCGCUACGCGUUGUAAACUGCUUUUAACCGGGAAGAAACCCCAGGACGUGUCCUGGGUUGACGGUACCGGAGGAAUAAGCACCGGCUAACUUCGUGCCAGCAGCCGCGGUAAUACGAAGGGUGCAAGCGUUAUCCGGAUUCAUUGGGUUUAAAGGGUGCGUAGGCGGAGCGUUAAGUCAGUGGUGAAAUCCUGCAGCUUAACUGUAGACUUGCCAUUGAUACUGGCGCUCUUGAGUGCGCUUGAAGUGGGCGGAAUGUGCCGUGUAGCGGUGAAAUGCUUAGAUAUGGCACAGAACACCAAUUGCGAAGGCAGCUCACUAAGGCGAUACUGACGCUGAAGCACGAAAGCGUGGGGAUCGAACAGGAUUAGAAACCCGAGUAGUCC